GCCAGCAGCCAUAUCACCCUGAUGCUCUCAACUGGCUACUUGCUGAAGCAAAGCAGAGUUGAGCCUGGUCAGUACCUGGAUGGGAGACCUCCUGGGAAGCUAUGGUUGAUGCUGGAA
rnacentral:rRNA from 1 species